rnacentral:rRNA from 1 species
GACGAACGCUGGCGGCGUGCUUAACACAUGCAAGUCGAACGGACAGGCCCUGCUUUUGUGGGGUGCUCGAGUGGCGAACGGGUGAGUAACACGUGAGUAACCUGCCCUUGACUUUGGGAUAACUUCAGGAAACUGGGGCUAUUACCGGAUAGGAGCUCCUGCUGCAUGGUGGGGGUUGGUAAGUUUCGGCGGUUGGGGAUGUACUCGCGGCGUAUCAGCUUGAUGGGGGGGUAGUGGCUUUCCCAGGCUUUGACGGGUAGCCGGCCUGAGAGGGUGAGCGGCCACAUUGGGACUGAGAGACGGCCCAGACUCCUACGGGAGGCAGCAGUGGGGAAUAUUGCAGAAUGGGCGGAAGCCUGAUGCAGCAACUCCGCGGGCGGGAUGACGGCCUUCGGGUGGUAAACCGCUGUCGCCGUUGACGAAGCGUGAGUGACGGUAAUGGGUAAAGAAGCACCGGCUAACUACGUG